rnacentral:rRNA from 1 species
CCUGAAGGUACUGCGGAGAUCAUUGUCGGAUGCAAGUAGAAUGCCGGUGGACAUGUGGAUUUGUUGGAUCAUACGCAGCGGGGUGCAUGGGGAUCGACCCCCCGUGUGACCCCUCUUGGUCGAUGGCGGCAUGCCUUGAAGGGCAUGAGAACUUCGAUCUACCUCUUACACCGGCACGGGAUGUGCCAAGGUAAAGACCAUAUUGGAAGAUCCCCUCGUGGCCCUGUGCGGUGUGCGUGGCGCUCGGGGUAUCCAUGGCGGUGACUUUAGAAAUAUCGAUACAACGACUCUCGGCAAUGGAUAUCUCGGCUCUCGUGUCGAUGAAGAACGCAGCGAAAUGCGAUACAUGGUGUGAAUUGCAGAAUCUCGUGAAUCAUUGAGUUUUUGAACGCAAGUUGCGCCUGAGGCCGUUUUUUGGUCGAGGGCACGCCUGCCUGGGCGUCAUGCAUGGUGGAGCCCUCGGACCUCCCCAGAUAGGAGACCCGCUAAACGGGUUGAUUUUCGAUGGGAGGGGAUUUGGGGUAGACGGUGGCCUCCCGUUCCCUAUUGUGCGGCUGGCUUAAUUUCAUGGUCCCUGGCGACAUGCGGUGCGACGGGUUGUGGCAGACUGCGUUUUUCCCAUGUCGGUACGGGAACCCUGCGGUCCCGUGGCUUCAUCGACACUUAGAUUAGAUGGAGCAACACUUCCGACCCCAGGUCAGGUGGGAGCACCCGCUGAGUUUAAGCAUAUCAAAAACGGGAGAGAAAA